rnacentral:rRNA from 1 species
GGCUCAGAACGAACGCGGGCGGCGUGCCUAACACAUGCAAGUCGAACGUGAUUAGAGAGCUUGCUCUCUAUGAAAGUGGCGCACGGGUGAGUAACGCGUAGAUAAUCUGCCUGAUGAUCGGGGAUAACACUUCGAAAGGGGUGCUAAUACCGGAUAAGCUCACGGAGUCCUUGGACUCUGCGAGAAAAGGGGGGGACCUUCGGGCCUUCUGUCAUCAGAUGAGUCUGCGUACCAUUAGCUAGUUGGUAGGGUAAAGGCCUACCAAGGCGACGAUGGUUAGCUGGUCUGAGAGGAUGAUCAGCCACACUGGAACUGAGACACGGUCCAGACUCCUACGGGAGGCAGCAGUGGGGAAUUUUGCGCAAUGGGGGAAACCCUGACGCAGCAACGCCGCGUGAGUGAUGAAGGCUCUUGGGUCGUAAAGCUCUGACAGAGGGAAAGAAAUGUAUUGCGGAUAAUACCUGCGAUACUUGACGGUACCCUCAAAGGAAGCACCGGCUAACUCCGUGCCAGCAGCCGCGGUAAUACGGGGGGUGCAAGCGUUGUUCGGAUUUAUUGGGCGUAAAGCGCGUGUAGGCGGUUUGGUAAGUCUGAUGUGAAAGCCCUGGGCUCAACCCGGGAAGUGCAUUGGAUACUGUCAGACUUGAAUACGGGAGAGGGCAGUGGAAUUCCUAGUGUAGGAGUGAAAUCCGUAGAUAUUAGGAGGAACACCGGUGGCGAAGGCGGCUGCCUGGACCGAUAUUGACGCUGAGACGCGAAAGCGUGGGUAGCAAACAGGAUUAGAUACCCUGGUAGUCCACGCCGUAAACGAUGAGAACUAGGUGUUGCGGGUAUUGACCCCUGCAGUGCCGUAGCUAACGCAUUAAGUUCUCCGCCUGGGAAGUACGGUCGCAAGACUAAAACU